UUACAUGCCUGGCAUGAACGGUCU
rnacentral:siRNA from 1 species